rnacentral:rRNA from 1 species
AUGCAGCCAUGCCGCGUGUAUGAAGAAGGCCUUCGGGUUUGUAAAGUACUUUCAGCUAGUGAGGAAGGUGGUAGUGUUAAUAGCGCUUUCAUUUGACGUUAGCUGCAGAAGAAGCACCGGCUAACUCCGUGCCAGCAGCCGCGGUAAUACGGAGGGUGCGAGCGUUAAUCGGAAUUACUGGGCGUAAAGCGCAUGCAGGCGGUCUGUUAAGCAAGAUGUGAAAGCCCGGGGCUCAACCUCGGAACUGCAUUUUGAACUGGCAGACUAGAGUCUUGUAGAGGGGGGUAGAAUUUCAGGUGUAGCGGUGAAAUGCGUAGAGAUCUGAAGGAAUACCGGUGGCGAAGGCGGCCCCCUGGACAAAUACUGACGCUCAUAUGCGAAAGCGUGGGGAGCAAACAGGAUUAGAUACCCUGGUAGUCCACGCCGUAAACGAUGUCUACUUGGAGGUUGGGGCCUUGAACUCUGGCUUUCGGAGCUAACGCGUUAAGUAGACCGCCUGGGAAGUACGGCUCGCAAGAUUAAAACUCAAAUGAAUUGACGGGGGCCCGCACAAGCGGUGGAGCAUGUGGUUUAAUUCAAUGCAACGCGAAAAACCUUACCUACUCUUGACAUCCAGAGAAUUCGCUAGAGAUGGCUUAGUGCCUUCGGGAACUCUGACACAGGUGCUGCAUGGCUGUCCUCAGCUCGUGUUGUGAAAUGUUGGGUUAAGUCCCGCAACGAGCGCAACCCUUAUCCUUGUUUGCCAGCACAUAAUGGUGGAACUCCAGGGAGACUGCCGGUGAUAACCCGGAAGAAGGUGGGGACGACGUCAAGUCAUCGUGCCCUUACGAGUAGGGCUACACCCGUGCUACAGUGGCGUAUACAGAGGGCUGCCACCUGCGAUGGUGAGCGAAUCCCAAAAAGUGCGUCAGACUCCGGAUUGGACUCUGCACUCCACCCCAUGAAGUCGAACCCUAGUAUCGUGGAUCAAAAUGC